rnacentral:rRNA from 1 species
UACAGAGGUCCCGAGCGUUGUUCGGAUUCAUUGGGCGUAAAGGGUGCGUAGGCGGCGGGGAAAGUCUGAUGUGAAAUCCUGGGGCUCAACCCUGGAACUGCAUUGGAUACUUCCUUGCUAGAGUACUGGAGAGAACUGGAAUUUACGGUGUAGCAGUGAAAUGCGUAGAGAUCGUAAGGAAGGCUGGUGGCGAAAGCGAGCCUCUGGACAGUUACUGACGCUGAUGCAC